CAGCAAUGAAGUAGAGACGACGGCGAAGCUUUUUGGGACAAGUGUGACGGUCUCCGGUGGCUUGACGGCGGAGCUAGGCCGAGAAGAAAAUCUGGCAGAUAAUAGACUUCUUACCAUCCAUCUUCGCCUAUAUAAAGAACUUUAGCCGACGAAAUUCUUUAUUUUCGUCGGCUAAACUCUUUUUGAAAAUUUUGGUUGACCGUCAAAAAAUUUUGGUUGAAAAUUUUGAAAAUUUUUCGACUUUAGCCGACGACUUUUCAUAUAUUUUCGUCGGCUAAAGUCCUUUGAAAAUUUUCCUCCAACUUUGGUUUACCGCCUAAAAAAUUUUGAAAUUUUUGACCUUAGCCGACGACUUUUCAUAUAUUUUCGUCGGCUAAAGUCUAUAAAUUCACGAAAACACUCAUAUCUCCCCUUAUAUUACGUAGUUUGGUCAAAUCUUCCACACGAAAAACUCUCACGUAGAUGAGACGCAACCACCUAUAUAAAAAUUUUGAGACAUUUACCUUCCGACAAUAGGGCUCCCCAUAAGAAAUAAUAACGGUAAAUAGGGUUGACCGCUACUAUCGGCUCCGAGACUUUACCCGAUUUACGUGAUUUUUGAACCAUAGCCGUAUUUCACCAUUCUGAACACAUCUUAUUUCACGAGUAUUUUUAAUAAUUUUGCUUCCUAUGUAGAGUUGGUUCACAAAGUUGUAUAACCUACUAAACAAGUUAUACAACAUUAGUAGACACGUUGUGAUUCCGAUGACUAAAAUUCACAAACCAAAAUUCGACCGUCAGAUAUGAUCAUUAUGACGAAAUAUGUCUAUGGUAAAAAAUUCAACUGGAUCCGACAACGUUAAGGGCUCGAUCGAAACGGUCAACCAUAAUCCAUCGUCACUUAUCACACGAAAACGCUCAUAUCUCCCUCUAUAUUACGUAGUUUGGUCAAACCUUCCACACAAAAAACUCUCACGUAGAUGAGACGCAACUGCCCAUAUAAAAAUUUUGAGACAUUUACCUUCCGACCUUCCGACGAUAGGGCUCCCCAUAAACCCGAAUAACGGUAAAUAGUAGACACGUUGUGAUUCCGAUGACUAAAAUUCACAAACCAAAAUUCGACUGUCAGAUAUGAUCACUAUGAUGAAAGAUGUCUAUGAUAAAAAAUUCAACUGGAUUCGACAAAGUUAAGGGCUCGAUCGAAACGGUCAACUUUAAUCGAAAAUAAGAAAAUUGCAUUUUGAAACCCUAAACGGACUCGGAUGGCCAAAAAAGCCCAUACAUCAUGGCUUUGGCCAUGAGUUUGACUCGUAGCGCCGUUACGCUUCCGGAAAGGUAUCACAAUAGUCAAUCAGACACUAAACGCCAAAUCUGCAACACAGUGAAUAAUAAGAGUAAGUCAACUAUCGGCACCGAGACUUUACCAGAAUACUGUGAUUUUUCAACCGUAGACGUAUUUCACCAUUCUGGUCAUAUCUUAUUUCACGACUUUUUUACGUUUGAAGGUUCUACGUAUAGUUUUUUUUUCUCAGAUGAGUUGUUGUCUAGAUCUGCAAAUAUAAGGCACUUUAGCCGACGAAAUUAUAUUUUUUCGUCGGCUAAACUUUUUAAAUUUCGUCGGCUAAAC
rnacentral:lncRNA from 1 species